GGGCGGAGAGAAAGGAAUCGUGCGAGCGAGCGAGCGAGCGCUUACAUUUUUUUUCUCCCAAGGAUCUCAUCUGGCCGCCGCGUUCUGGAGGAGGCCAGGGGGAGAGCGCGCGCGCGCAAGGAGGACGGAGACGGCGGGGAAAGGGAGACGGCGAGACGCGCAGCGCCGGCGCCCCGGAGACCCAGGAGGAGCCCGCAGAUAACCAGCCCGAGUCAUGCAGUCUUUUAGAGAAAGGUGUGGUUUCCAUGGCAAACAACAGAGCUACCCGCAGACCUCGCAGGAAACAUCGCGUCUGGAGAAUUACAGGCAGCCGAGUCAGGCUGGGCUGAGCUGCGACCGGCAGCGGCUGCUUGCGAAGGACUAUUACACUCCGCAGCCUUACCCGGGCUAUGAGGGCAGCACUGGCACACCCUCUGGCACGGGGGCUGCGGUCGCCGCCGAGAAGUACCACCGAGGCAGCAAGGCCCUGCCCUCACAGCAGGCCCUUCCGGGGAGGUCAGCUUUCCCUGGCUAUGGCGGUGUCCAGGACAGCAGCCCUUACCCGGGACGCUACUCUGGCGAGGAAGGCCUGCAGGCCUGGGGUACCCCACAGCCACCACCUCCUCAGCCACAGCCCCUGCCAGGGGGUGUGGGCAAGUAUGAUGAGAACUUGAUGAAAAAGACAGCAGUGCCCCCUGGCAGGCAGUACCCAGAGCAGGGCGCCCAGCUUCCCUUCCGGACUCACUCUCUGCACGUCCAGCAGCCGCCGCCGCCGCCGCCUCAGCAGCUGCCGCAGCCCCAGCAGCCUCUGGUGUACCCCAAACUUCAAAGGCAGAAACUACAGAAUGACAUUGCCUCACCUUUGCCUUUCCCCCAGGGUGGCCACUUCCCGCAGCACUCCCAGUCCUUUCCUGCCUCUUCCACCUACUCGUCCUCUGUCCAGGGUGCCGCGCAGGGGGCCCACUCCUACAAGAGUUGCACAGCACCGUCCACCCAGCCCCACGACAGGCCGCUCACCGCCAAUACCAGCCUGGCCCCGGGGCCGCGGGUCCCAAACCUUCACGCCUACCAGUCGGGCCGCCUCGGCUAUGACCAGCAGCAGCAACAGCAGCAGCAGCAGCAGCAGCAAACACUCCAAAGCCGGCACCAUGCCCAGGAAACCCUCCACUACCAAAACCUCGCCAAAUACCAACACUAUGGGCAGCAAGGCCAGGGCUACUGCCAGCCAGAUGCCUCUGUCAGGACGCCGGAGCAGUACUACCAGACCUUCAGCCCCAGCUCCAGCCACUCCCCUGCCCGCUCUGUGGGACGCUCACCGUCCUACAGCUCCACUCCCUCGCCCCUGAUGCCCAACCUCGAGAGCUUCCCAUACAGCCAGCCGCCGCUCAGUACUGGAGCCUUCCCCACAGGGGUCACCGACCACAGUCACUUCAUGCCCCUGCUCAACCCCUCCCCGACGGACGCCGCCAGCUCCGUGGACACCCAGGCCAGCAACUGUAAGCCCAUGCAGAAGGACAAGAUCCCUGAAAACCUGCUGUCAGACCUCAGCCUGCAGAGCCUCACGGCACUGACCUCACAGGUAGAGAACAUCUCCAACACCGUGCAGCAGCUUCUGCUGUCCAAGGCUGCCGUACCGCAGAAGAAAGGGGUCAAGAACCUUGUGUCCAGGACUCCAGAGCAACACAAGAGCCAGCACUGCAGCCCUGAGGGCAGUGGCUACUCAGCCGAGCCAUCAGGCACGCCGCUGUCCGAGCCGCUGAGCAGCACCCCGCAGUCCACCCACGCUGAGCCGCAGGAGGCCGACUACCUGAGUGGCUCUGAGGACCCGCUGGAAAGAAGCUUCCUGUACUGUAGCCAGCCCCGUGGCAGCCCUGCCAGGGUCAACAGUAACUCGAAGGCCAAGCCUGAGUCUGUGUCCACCUGUUCUGUGACCUCACCUGAUGACAUGUCCACCAAAUCUGAUGAUUCCUUCCAGAGCUUGCACAGCACUCUGCCCCUGGACAGCUUCUCCAAGUUCGUGGCCGGUGAGCGGGACUGCCCUCGGCUGCUGCUGAGCGCCCUGGCACAGGAGGACCUGGCCUCCGAGAUCUUGGGGCUGCAGGAAGCCAUCGGCGAGAAGGCUGACAAGGCCUGGGCGGAAGCUCCCGGCCUGGCCAAGGACACCAGCAAGCCUCCCUUCUCGUUGGAGAACCACAGCGCCUGCCUGGACUCCGUAGCCAAGAACGUAUGGCCGCGGCCUGGGGAGCCAGAGACCCUGCCUGAUUCUCUGCAGCUGGACAAAGGUAGUGGCACCAAGGACUUCAGCCCCGGGCUCUUUGAAGACCCUUCUGUGGCCUUCGCCAGCCCUGAUCCCAAGAAGACAACUGGCCCUCUCUCCUUUGGCACCAAGCCCACCCUUGGGACUGCCGCUCCAGACCCCACCACCACAGCUUUUGACUGCUUCCCGGACACAACCACCGCCAGCUCAGCAGACAGUGCCAACCCCUUUGCCUGGCCGGAGGAGAACCUGGGCGAUGCCUGUCCCCGGUGGGGACUGCAUCCCAGUGAGCUUGCCAAAGGCCUGGAGCAGGGCGGAAAGGCCUCGGAUGGCGUGGGCAAAGGCGACAGCCACGAGGCUUCGGCCUGCCUGGGCUUCCAAGAGGACGAGCCCCCGGGGGAGGAGGCAGUCGCAAUGCCCAGGGACUUCAAGCAGGAGGCGGCGGGUGGGGUGAAGGAGGAGGUGGGCGGGAUGCUGCAGUGCCCCGAUGACGUGGGUAAGGCUGACCGGUGGCUGGAGGACAGCCGGCACUGCUGCUCUGCUGCGGACUUUGGGGACCUGCCACUGCUGCCGCCCCCAGGCAGGAAGGAGGACCUGGAGGCUGAGGAGGAGUACUCCUCCCUGUGUGAGCUGCUGGGCAGCCCGGAGCAGAGGCCCGGCAUGCAGGACCCGCUGUCCCCGAAGGCCCCCCUCAUCUGCACCAAGGAGGAGGUGGAAGAAGUGCUGGACUCCAAGGCCAGCUGGGGCUCCCCGUGCCACCUCUCUGGGGACUCUGUCAUCCUGCUGGGCCCCACCGUGGGUGCCGAGUCAAAGGUCCAGAGCUGGUUUGAGUCCUCCCUGUCCCACAUGAAGCCAGGGGAAGAGGGUCCUGAGGGGGAGCGGGCUCCCGGUGACUCCACCACCGCGGAAGCCUCCCGGGCCCAGAAGCCGAACAAGCCUGCCGUGCCCGAAGCACCCAUUGCUAAGAAAGAGCCUGUGCCCCGGGGUAAAAGUUUACGGAGCCGUCGGGUGCACCGGGGGCUGCCUGAGGCUGAGGACUCCCCGUGCAGGGCGCCAGUGCUGCCCAAAGACCUGUUGCUCCCUGAAUCCUGCACAGGGCCGCCCCAGGGACAGAUGGAAGGGGCCGGGGCGCCAGGCCGAGGCGCCUCAGAAGGGCUCCCCAGGAUGUGUACACGCUCCCUCACGGCCCUGAGUGAACCCCGCACGCCUGGACCUCCGGGCCUGACCACCACUCCCGCACCCCCUGACAAACUGGGGGGCAAGCAGCGAGCCGCCUUCAAAUCGGGCAAGAGGGUAGGGAAACCUUCGCCCAAGGCCGCAUCCAGCCCCAGCAACCCAGCUGCCCUGCCCGUGGCCUCAGACAGCAGUCCCAUGGGCUCCAAAACCAAGGAGACAGACUCGCCCAGUACUCCCAGCAAGGACCAGCGCUCUAUGAUCCUCCGGUCCCGCACGAAGCCCCAGGAGGUCUUCCACGCCAAGCGGAGACGGCCCUCGGAGAGCCGGCUCCCCAACUGCCGUGCCACCAAAAAGCUCCUCGCCAACAACCACCUGCCCACCGCAUUCAAAGUCUCCAGCAGUCCCCAGAAGGAGGGCAGGGUGAGCCAGCGGGCGAGGGUCCCCAAGCCCGGAACCGGGGUCAAGCUUUCUGAUCGGCCCCUCCACACCCUCAAAAGGAAGUCCACCUUCAUGGCGCCGGUCCCUACCAAGAAACGGAACCUAGUUUUACGGAGCAGCAGCAGCACCACCACCACCACCACCGGCAACGUGGAAGACGGGAAGGAGGAGAGGGCCGAGGACUCCCCCGCUCUCUUCAGGAGGGUGUCUUCCCCCAAAAAGACCAAGCCCAAGGGCAGCAGCGAGCCCAUCAUGAAGCCCUUGCCUCCGGAGAGCCCCGAAACCUGCAUGAAGCUCACCUCACGGGCGGCCUUCCAGGGCGCCAUGAAGACCAAGGUGCUGCCGCCCCGGAAGGGCCGGGGCCUGAAGCUGGAGGCCAUCGUGCAGAAGAUCACCUCACCUGGUCUCAAGAAGUUCACGUGCAAAGUGCCAGGGGCCCCUCCAGGGACACCUCUGAGCCCAGCCCUCCCGGAGAAGGAACGGGCUGGCCUGAAGAGUGCCGGGGGCAGCCCGGCAAGGGCGGAAGAAGGUCUCGUAAGCAUGGGCCCUGGGCAGAAGCUUCCAGCAGCUUUGGGAGCUGACCCAUUAUGCAGAAAUCCAGCCAACAGGUCCUUAAAAGGCAAGCUUGUGAACAGUAAGAAACUGUCCUCUGUUGACUGUUUCAAAACUGAGGCCUUCGCAUCCCCGGAGGCCCUGCAGCCUGGGGCAACCGCCCUGGCACCUAAGAAGAGGAGCCGGAAGGGCAGAGCGGGAGGCCUCGGACUCCCCAAAGGCCCCCUGGAGAAACGGCCCUACUUUGGUCCAACUCUGCUCCUCGGUCCCCGAGACAGGGCCGGCAGCACGCAGGCGGGGGGCGAGGACAGUUCUGGUGGGGGCAAGAAGCCAAAGACAGAGGAGCUGGGCCUGGCCGCCCAGCCCUCUGAGGGCCGGCCCUGCCAGCCCCAGACUAGGGCACAGAAGCAGCCAGGCCAUGCCAACUACAGCAGCUAUUCCAAGCGGAAGCGCCUCACCCGGGGCCGGGCCAAGAACACCAACGCUUCGCCCUGUAAGGGGCGUGCCAAGCGGAGGCGGCAGCAGCAGGUGCUCCCCCUGGAUCCUGCAGAGCCUGAAAUCCGCCUCAAGUACAUUUCCUCUUGCAAGCGACUGAGGGCAGACAGCCGGACCCCGGCCUUCUCGCCCUUCGUGCGGGUGGAGAAGCGAGACGCGUUCACCACGGUAUGCACUGUUGUCAACUCCCCAGGGGACGAGCCCAAGCCCCACAGGAAGCCUUCGUCCUCCACCUCCUCUUCCUCACCCUCCUCCUCCUUCUUGGAUGUGGCUGGGGCUUACCUGACCGCUCUGCCCGGAGGCUCCAUCCUGCAGUCACGGCCCUCCCUGCCUCUGUCCUCCAUGAUGCACCUGGGGCCUGUGGUUUCCAAGGCCCUGAGUACCUCUUGCCUUGUUUGCUGCCUCUGCCAAAACCCGGCCAACUUCAAGGACCUCGGAGACCUCUGUGGACCCUACUACCCUGAACACUGCCUCCCCAAAAAGAAGCCAAAACUCAAGGAGAAGGUGCGCACAGAAGGCACCUGCGAGGAGGUCCUGCUGCCCCUCGAGAGAACACUCAAGGGCCUUGAGUGUGCGGCUGCCCCCGCUGCCCCCGCUGCCGCUGCUGCCACUGCUCCCGGGAAGCCCCCCAGGCUUGACAGCCCAGCUGACCCGGCCAAGCAGGGCUCGCUGCGUACCAGUGCCCGUGGCCUGUCCCGGCGGCUGCAGAGUUGCUACUGUUGUGAUGGCCGGGGUGACGGGGGCGAGGAGAUGGCCCCCGUCGACAAGAGCCGCAAGCACGAGUGCAUCAAGGAGGCCCCCGCAGAGCCUGUCGGGGACACCCAGGAGCACUGGGUGCACGAGGCCUGCGCCGUGUGGACCGGCGGGGUCUACCUGGUGGCCGGGAAGCUCUUUGGGCUACAGGAGGCCAUGAAAGUGGCCAUGGACAUGGGCCGGUUCUGUAACUCCAGGAAGGCACUUGUCCUCUGUGAGCCCCAGAAGCCGAACCCAUCACAGGACUUCGAGAUUAUGCAGGUGGCCCGUGACCUGCCUGGACACAGCAGGGCUCGGUGCGCAGCUGAGGCCCCAGCCCCGCCUCGAGACACCUGUGGUACUUUGGCCUCCCUUCUGCUCUCUGGAGGACAAAACUCCUGUCAAAUUCCUGCCUCGAGGGUUGCUGGGGCCCCAACACAGGUGAAGAGAGAGGCCGUCAGCCGGAGGGGCCCCAGAGCUCCCCCUAAACGUCACAACGCCCCAAGGUCCACUGUGGAUGAGAGACUCAUGCUUCAUCACCCCUUUUUGGACAUGUUCCAGCUGCCAGGAGGCCGGGGCCACCAUCGGGUGCUCCUACAAAGGAUGCGUCCACACCUACCACUACCCGUGUGCCAGUGACGCAGGUUGCAUAUUCAUCGAAGAGAACUUUUCUUUGAAAUGUCCCAAACAUAAGAGGCUGCCGUUGUAAUCCACCGCAACAGCCGGAGGAGCCGCCGGAGCCGGAGCCGGAGCGGCCGGCCGCCGAAGGAAAGGAGCCGCCCGCGCGGCGAGGCCUUGGAGUUGCUCCCAGCGCGCGACCGGAGCUGAUCCUUGAUCCGGGUGCCGGGUCUUGGAUCCGGCCAC